GCCAUCUGGGACUCGCAGGCA
rnacentral:miRNA from 1 species